CACAUGCAAGUCGAGCGGGGGAAGGUAGCUUGCUACUGGACCUAGCGGCGGACGGGUGAGUAAUGCUUAGGAAUCUGCCUAUUAGUGGGGGACAACAUCUCGAAAGGGAUGCUAAUACCGCAUACGUCCUACGGGAGAAAGCAGGGGAUCUUCGGACCUUGCGCUAAUAGAUGAGCCUAAGUCGGAUUAGCUAGUUGGUGGGGUAAAGGCCUACCAAGGCGACGAUCUGUAGCGGGUCUGAGAGGAUGAUCCGCCACACUGGGACUGAGACACGGCCCAGACUCCUACGGGAGGCAGCAGUGGGGAAUAUUGGACAAUGGGCGCAAGCCUGAUCCAGCCAUGCCGCGUGUGUGAAGAAGGCCUUAUGGUUGUAAAGCACUUUAAGCGAGGAGGAGGCUACUUUAGAUAAUACCUAGAGAUAGUGGACGUUACUCGCAGAAUAAGCCCCGG
rnacentral:rRNA from 1 species